rnacentral:tRNA from 1 species
GGCUCUGUAGCUCAGCGGUAGAGCGCGGCUCUCAUGAGGCCGAGGUCGGGAGGUCAGCACUCCCUAGAGCCA